rnacentral:rRNA from 1 species
CCCUUAGAUGUUCUGGGCUGCACGCGCGCUACACUGAUGCACUCAACGAGUUUACGACCUUGCCCGAUAGGGUUGGGUAAUCUUUUUAAAAUGCAUCGUGAUGGGGAUAGAUUAUUGCAAUUAUUAAUCUUCAACGAGGAAUUCCUAGUAAGCGCGAGUCAUCAGCUCGUGCUGAUUACGUCCCUGCCUUUUGUACACACCGCCCGUCGCUCCUACCGAUUGAGUGCUCAGGUGAAUAAUUCGGACUGCAGCAAUGUUUGGAUCCCGAACGUUGCAGCGGAAAGUUUAGUGAACCUUAUCACUUAGAGGAAGGAGAAGUCGUAACA